UACAGAGGUCCCGAGCGUUACUGAGAAUCACUGGGUUUAAAGGGUGCGUAGGUGGUCCGUUAAGUUCGUUGUGAAAUCCCUGGGCUCAACCCAGGAACUGCUUCGAAUACUGGCGGACUUGAGGCCGGUAGGGGUCACUGGAACUGACGGUGGAGCGGUGAAAUGCGUAGAUAUCGUCAGGAACGCCGAUGGUGAAGACAGGUGACUGGGCCGGAUCUGACACUGAGGCACGAAAGCGUGGGGAGCGAACGGG
rnacentral:rRNA from 1 species